SMRKKCGCCCUUAGAGUUUGAUCCUGGCUCAGAACGAACGCUGGCGGCGUGCUUAACACAUGCAAGUCGAACGUGAUCCGGAGCUUGCUCCGGUGAAAGURGCGCACGGGUGAGUAACGCGUGGAUAAYCUGCCCUGGUAUCUGGGAUAACAUCUCGAAAGGGGUGCUAAUACCGGAUAAGCCUACGGUCUCUUCGGAAUCUGCAGGAAAAGGUGGCCUCUAUUUAUAAGCUACCGUAUCAKGAUGAGUCCGCGUACCAUUAGCUAGUUGGUGGGGUAAUGGCCCACCAAGGCUACGAUGGUUWGCUGGUCUGAGAGGAUGAUCAGCCACACUGGAACUGAGACACGGUCCAGACUCCUACGGGAGGCAGCAGUGGGGAAUUUUGCGCAAUGGGGGAAACCCUGACGCAGCAACGCCGCGUGAGUGAUGAAGGCUUUCGGGUCGUAAAGCUCUGUCAGAGGGGAAGAAAUGAGCCUGGCUAAUAUCCAGGUUUCUUGACGGUACCCUCAAAGGAAGCACCGGCUAACUCCGUGCCAGCAGCCGCGGUAAUAC
rnacentral:rRNA from 1 species